GACAAGCAUAAGACCACUGAAAAUAAGCUUUUUCUUAUUCUUGUUGCAGAGUCUUUAGAGCAAACUCACAGAUCCCUGAGCACCUGUAUGUGGCAGGCAGAUUGAAGGCAGCCACAGCCAGGAAAACUUUCUGCUGGAACCUGAGUCUGGGAUCUUUUCCCUCCAUGGAGAAAACCUUUGUCCUUCAGGUGAUGGCAGAUGCCUAAAAGGAAACCUUCUUUGUCUUGGGAUGAUGGUAGAAGAGGUCCAGGGGCUUCACGAGCUGGAUAUUGCACCUACAGGCCUUGGAGUCAGAGAUAAGUAUCAGAUAAUUCACUCCUCCAGAAAGCACUGCCUUAUAUUCAAAAUGGAGAGGGGGAGCAGCAGCCAGGAAGAAUGCUGGGAGUGUGGCAGGAGCUGGGUACCCACCAUAAAGCUGGGGAACAAUUUUCCUGGGACUCUCAGCCCUACAGAUGGGUAAAUGCUCGCCUCUCCCUGUACUCUGUAGCUGCACAUCUUCCUCACUUCAAAACAUAACUUUCCCUCCUUCAGACUGAGUGGAUCCAGGGCCAUCUCCCCAGCCCUUGGGCUGUUUUAAUAGAGGCAGCAGCUUCACUAACCACCCCAGGUGGGUGAAGCAUCCCCCUGGCAUGCAGGUUUGGGUUUCUCUCUCCAGCAGCAUUCUGCUCCUAGUGAGCUGAUGGCACUGGAGCAGUGCUGUAGGAGAGUAAGGCAGCACAAUACUGCUGUGGUUUUGGAGGUUUUCAGGAAUAAUUAGCAAAAUCCAAUUAAGAAAAGUGAAAUACAGUAGGCUCAACCAGCUGCAUCAGCGUGUGAAAUGGAGCUAUGCAAAAUAAAACAAAGCAUUUUACAGUGGCAGGGCUCUGCAGCCUUAGAAUGAUGCUGACAGAUUUCCCUACUAUCAAAGAGCCAACACUCAGGUAGGAGCUGACAGUACAUGGGGCUGUUACUAAAUAGGUCUGUGCUGUGCUUGGAGUCCUCCCUUGCUCUCAGCAGCUCCUGCUUCAGACCAGGGAGGUUGGAGUGGGUCUUGCCUGACCGUGGUAGAAGCAACAGAGGAAGAACUGGCAAGGGGCGAUGAGGCAGCAUCAGUGUGACAAAAAGAUGAGGGAAGUGAAAUAAAAGCUGGACAUUGAGGGAGUAAGUAGGAAGAACAGGUGGGAGUGAGGCUAAGGGAGUAAACAAUUGAGGGAAGAGAGGCUGCUCAGAGCAAUCUGCUUGUUUGUUGUCUGAACAGCUGGGUUUGGCCCAGCCUGCUAGAAAUGACGGCAAAAAGGCUGCUCUGAAGAUCACUAGGGGGAACCAUGCUGAGCACAGGCACAGGGCCACCAUCCCAUGGUGCUGUUGGAGUGUCUCAGUGGAUGCACAUGUGCUUGUCUCUAUAGUGCUGCUUUCUGUGUUGCACAAACACACUGCUGAGAAGGGGUUUGGACCAAAUGAACUUUAGAGGUACCUUCCAGCCUCAACUAUUCUGUAAUCAACAGGGAAAACUUCAAAACAAGCAUGGAUUUUUUCAUCGGCUAAGAAACGCAUUGGUUCGGGUGUCUCAUGUAGCAUCUUUCCACUGGGAUGUGCCACAGAAAAACCACUACGAGAGUUACUAUCAUAUUCAGUCAUAUUCAAAGGAUAAAUCAUUUCAGCCUCUCCUGGAUGAAAAUUUGGACAGUGGAAUUUACAGAGGUGCUACAGUUGUAUUUCAUCGGCGACAAGAGAUGGAGGAGACCAUGACUGGAUCAUUGGGUGAUGCUCUGGCAUUAUUCUGUAAUGGGAAACCUGAGUUUGGUAAGUAAUUGAAAAAAAAAAACAAAACAACAACAACAAAGAAAAAAAAAACCCAAAAAAAAACAACCACAAAACAUUGCAAAUAUUUGUACACUAUGCCAUUACAGACAAUUAGCCACUGUUGGUCCUCUUUCUCUUUCUGUUGCUUUCUUUGUGACAUUAUAAAGCAAAGGCUUAUCUGCUAGCAUUUUUUUCCCAUACUCCUCUUUUCUGUAAUCUUUUCUGCAAGUUCUGAAACAAGUGGGUUUUUGAUCAUUCUAUUCUCUUCAGUUAGAGCUCCCACACCAUUCUGUAUUUGAUGAACGGUGUGAGAAACAUCCUGUAAUCAAAGCAAAAACAACUCCAAUCAUGUCACUAUUCUAUGGGAGCACCCAGAGAUGCCUACAAGACUGUGCUGCAUUUCUAGACAGACAGAGUUUUAUGGAGAGCACCAGUUGAUGUUCACAGCUCUUUAAACUAUCCAACUUACUGGAAGGAAAAAAAAAUAAUAAUUGUCUAUAUCUUUACCAGUGUUGUAUGGAAAUCAUAAACACAUUUCAUGACUAAUCAAGUCUAAAAAUUCAUCUUCCCACUUAAUCUCUUGGAUGGAUAGAAAAUAAGCAUCUUUAUAAAACUGAUAAAUGACCCCGGCUAUGUUUCUGAAGAACUGUUUUAUAAGAAUAAUUUGGAUGGUGGAAUAGGAAAGUUCCUCUUGCAAAACACAGCUUCUCAAAAACCCUAUUGUUUCCCAGUGCAAUAUUCUCUCUCUAGCUACAAGACUCUUUUCUUUCAGUAAAUGUAUUAUAGCCCUUUCAGUUUGUUCUGUUUUAUGUACUCGACAUCAUGAAUCUCUAAGAAGGUUAGGGGUGAGUAACAAUUUAAAUCUACUUUCAAAUACACUGAAAAGCCUAUUAUAGAUGCAACCUUGAACUUUAAUUGUAUAACAACAGCUACUUUCUUAGCAUUCACUGAAGUGACAGAGCUUCUUGCAUUUAAUUCUGCUCGGACUUCCUGGCUGUGUUGGCAACUGCACUAUCUUCUGGCUCUGUAAAACAACAAAAAAAUAAAAAUUAAACAAACAAAGCUACUUUUUAUAGCAUUAUAAUGUCUAUUCAUAUUUGUACUGGCAAAGGCUGUUAACGUAUCUGAGUUGGAGAAGUUAAUCUGGCUAAUUAUGUUUUUCUUCCUGCUAUUUUACUAGGCUACACAAGAGGCUGCUGAAAUCCAGCAUUUGUUUUCAGAUAUACAUUGAUGCUUUCUAAGGAAAUGAUUGUAAGAAGCCAGGGAAUACUUUAAAACAAUGUUGCUUAUGUAUUCUCCAGCAUUAUCAUGACCUAAGGAAACAAGAGCAGUAACUGCUAGGGACUGUGGACCAGUUCAACCCCAGAAUAACUGUAAAGAAGACCAAGUGAGAUUUAAUUUUUUUGUUUGUUUGUUUUUGUUUGCUUUAUUUUACCAGCCCAAAGCAAUGUUAUCUUAUGCCUACUGAGUACAGAUACGUAAAAACCUGCCUUCAAAAUAUUUGAUCAAAUAAUUCAUCUCUUGGUUAGAUAAGAAUGUAUUUAGUGUUCGUUUUCAUCAGAUCAAGUAUGACAUCUGAGUGGAUCUGCCUUUACUGGAUCUUUUGCUCAAAGAGACAAGGUGCACAAAGGAGAGCCCCAUAAUCCUACUAGUACUCUCUGGAAUAGCACUUGAGAGCUUAAGGCGACAUUCUGAGUUGUUGAUUCUUGUGUGGCAGCAUGUUUACUCUCCAUUAGAUGAAAAAUUAAAAUAAAUUUGUGGGCUUUAUAGUUUGAUGCUGCUGUUUUUGGCCAUGGUGGCCUGAUUAUAACUUAGCAGAAAAUACUGAAUGGCACUUACUGGGAAGAAAUAAAUAUCUCUGUAUCUCCCUCCUCUUUAUUCAGAAAAUGAGAAGUGAUUUUAAAAAAUGAAACAUGUUUUGUAAGAUUAUUAUCUGAUUUAGUAAUUUAGCUAAUGAAAUGCAGCUAAAUCAAUAUGGCACAUGAUAUUAUUUAGCAAUAAGAUGUGUUAAACUCUCUAUGGGUUUUGGAAUGUCAGGAGGAGUACUGUGGUGUUAGAACUGGGAAUGUUGUAUUCUGUUGCAUGCCCCAGUCCUGAAUAACCCUGAUUUACACCAACUUCUAAGUCAACUCAGCCCCUUCCACUGACCUUGAACUUAUCAUCUGGAAGAGAGAUUCAUUUCUAGGAGGAAUGUAGUGAGACAGUCAUCAUGGCAUGGGUUUUUGACUGAUUAAACAGUUACAUGCUAAGUCCCUUUAUGUUGCCAUGGAAGGAUGAAAAAUUAAUAAGUAGACUACAUCUAAUACACUAUACUGAAUACAAUAUAGCUUUUCAGCUACCCCAUGAAGCUGCUAGAAACUUCUAAAAAUGUAAAUAAAUGCUUUAAUUCAUUAAUUUUUUCUUUUGAGCUGUGUUGAGUGAUUAUACUUCUUCAGAAGAAUUUUUGUGAGCAGGAUAUUAAUAAUUUAUAAGUGUGUUAAAGGUAUUGAUCAUACAGGGGUAGAAACAUUAUGCUCGAGUUCUUUCUAUAAUCCAUUAAAAAAGGAAGCAAAUUGCUUCAGUUUACCAUUAAAAUAUGAGGCUGGCAGAUUGUAGUAGGAAACAUAUGUAAAGUUAUUUUUCCACUUUAACUGCAGUCAUUCAUCGUUGAUCUAGUGGCAACAUGAAAUGGUUUGUGGGCUUAAGCUGCAGGCAUUUCAUGCGUCAGGCUCUUCCUCUUCCCUCUGUCCUGUCCAUGUGGCCCUGCAGCAGCUCCAUGCCAGCUGUGCUCUCCUGGCAUGGCUCUGAUAAUAUCCUUGGGUUGAUUUCUGUAGCCAUGGCAGGAAGUCUUAAUUUCUUCUAUUCGCAGCCCUGUCUUUGGGUACAGUACAUCUGGUAGUCAGCAGGCUCUGUGCGAGUUCUCCUGAGGAAAAGGUGAGGAUGACUGCUGGAGGCUGGAGCUCUACCUGGUCUCUGUCUCCUACCCUGACCAUUUUCUCAUGUUGAAUCCAGGAACUGACUUGCUUGGGACUUCUUGCUGCAUCCAAGACUUAGCAUUUUCCUGACUGAAUUGUUUCCUGAUUUUGUCAUAGUUGCAUAAAUAAGGCCUCAACUCUGUGGCCCAGGACUGUGGAAUGUUUGUGAUGAGAAGGGACAUUGUCUUUGAAACCAAUUAAUGCAAUUCCUAUAAUUUUAUUCCAGUUCUAAUGGAGAAGGAAGAAUGAUAUAAACCAAAGGAAAUAAAUGAUUGGUGAAUAAUUUUAUUAAUCAGAUUCCUUUUGGAACACAAGUCUCAUUAUUUGUUUAUCAGCCAGGCUUCUACUAAAUCUAUUCACAAUUAAAAAUAAAAUUACCAAGUGAACAGUAUUGAACUGAUCUUUAAUUAGGGCAGCUGAGAUGUCUUGUAUAAUUAACAGGGCUUUGUUCAUAAUUAUUUCCUGGUAGUCGGAAUUGUUUUCUACAAGUAACCAAGCAAUGGUAAUGGUCACACCAAGAAAUGAUUUUCAGUGCAAAAUAACGGCUGGGCUUACAGUGCUUAAGUUCUGUGAGACCUAUUUGUUCCAUUGACAGCUACAAGAAAUCAUGUCAGUUUGUCUUGGCCACAGGAAGGCUUAAUUUUUUUACUUUUAGUUUUGUUUUAU